CGUUGUGGCACUGAAACCAGAAUUAACCCCGAAGCUCACUAAGCCUAAAUCCUGCUUCGUGGGGCAGGCAGAUGAAUGCUGGCCAUCGUCCAGAUCCGAAGCAACUGGCAUUGGUAGGCAGUGUGCAGGCUGCAAGGCAGGAAUCCUGAGACAGAGAAGAAACACAACAGGAAUUGCUUGGCUGUACACAAACCAGAGAGAACUACUAAGAGAACUAGAAACACGAGUUGCCCUGAGGUACUUUACCAUGAGGGAAUAGGAAUAAUCUGGUGAGUCUCAGGACACCAGAAGUAUUUGAGCUGGAGGUAAAGAUUGCUGUCAGGUGGACCAUGAGUGCAGCCGUGGUCUGCCAGCACUAACGACUGAUGCAUGACACCUGCUCUGCAGGGUUCAAAAGCCCCUCCUCCUGCUAGCUGUAGUUUCUCUCUCAGUUGCUCUCCAAGCCAGCAGACUCUACAAGAGCAGUCUCCCUAUACCACUUUUA